rnacentral:lncRNA from 1 species
GCUACCACUCGAGAAUGAAAGUGAGCCCUUAGUGAAUGAAAGCGAACAACCAAGCAAGAAAGUAAAGUUCUCUGUUGGUGAAAAAGUUUGGGCGUUGUACAAGGAUGGACAUUCCUACAAGGCCAGGAUUAUCAGGAUUAACAAAAAUUCCUACAGAGUGAAGUAUAUUGAAGAUGGAGUUGUCCAUGAUGUAGAUGGUGAAUGACUUCUAACUUGUGGUUGAGCUAUAUGCCAGAUUAUAUGAUCAGAUCCAACUACAUGUUCCAGAGUUACGGCCCCUGAAUUACCAGAAAGUGCUAAUUUUCAUCUUGUGAACACAUUAGAGAUGUCAUUUAGUGUUAGAUCUUAAUCAAACUUGCACUUCAUUUUGUAUCAAUCUAAGAUCUAAGUUCCUUGCGAGAACCAGUCAGAUUCCGUAUUACAAAAAAACUAUGAACUGAUUUUAUGUCAAAUUAACUCCCUCUGUUUCAAAUCAAAAUAGAUAUGUCCCAAUAACUAAUGAAGAUACUGAUUUGAAAUUUCGUUUAUGCCAUUAGAUGGACUAAAACAAUCAGGGUAGAUAACU